rnacentral:rRNA from 1 species
AACGCCGGCGGUGUGCCUAAUACAUGCAAGUCGAACGCGUUGGCCCAACUGAUUGAUUGUGCUUGCACAGGAUUGACGUUGGUUUCCCAACGAGUGGCGGACGGGUGAGUAACACGUAGGCAACCUGCCCCGAAGCGGGGGACAACAUUUGGAAACAAGUGCUAAUACCGCAUAACAACUUUGACCGCCUGGUCAAAGCUUAAAAGAUGGUUUCGGCUAUCACUUCGGGAUGGGCCUGCGGCGCAUUAGCUUGUUGGUGGGGUAACGGCCUACCAAGGCGAUGAUGCGUAGCCGAGUUGAGAGACUGAUCGGCCACAAUGGGACUGAGACACGGCCCAUACUCCUACGGGAGGCAGCAGUAGGGAAUCUUCCACAAUGGGCGCAAGCCUGAUGGAGCAACACCGCGUGAGUGAAGAAGGGUUUCGGCUCGUAAAGCUCUGUUGUUGAAGAAGAAUGUGCAAGUAGAGUAACUGUUCUUGUAUUGACGGUAUUCAACCAGAAAGUCACGGCUAACUACGUGCCAGCAGCCGCGGUAAUACGUAGGUGGCAAGCGUUAUCCGGAUUUAUUGGGCGUAAAGCGAGCGCAGGCGGUUUUCUAAGUCUGAUGUGAAAGCCUUCGGCUUAACCGAAGAAGUGCAUCGGAAACUGGAUGACUUGAGUGCAGAAGAGGGCAGUGGAACUCCAUGUGUAGCGGUGGAAUGCGUAGAUAUAUGGAAGAACACCAGUGGCGAAGGCGGCUGCCUGGUCUGUAACUGACGCUGAGGCUCGAAAGCAUGGGUAGCGAACAGGAUUAGAUACCCUGGUAGUCCAUGCCGUAAACGAUGAGUGCUAGGUGUUGGAGGGUUUCCGCCCUUCAGUGCCGGAGCUAACGCAU